GUGGGGAAUAUUGGACAAUGGGGGAAACCCUGAUCCAGCGACGCCGCGUGAGUGAAGAAGUAUUUCGGUAUGUAAAGCUCUAUCAGCAGGGAAGAAAAUGACGGUACCUGACUAAGAAGCCCCGGCUAACUACGUGCCAGCAGCCGCGGUAAUACGUAGGGGGCAAGCGUUAUCCGGAUUUACUGGGUGUAAAGGGAGCGUAGACGGCACUGCAAGUCUGGAGUGAAAGCCCGGGGCUCAACCCCGGGACUGCUUUGGAAACUGUGGUGCUGGAGUGCAGGAGAGGUAAGCGGAAUUCCCGGUGUAGCGGUGAAAUGCGUAGAGAUCGGGAGGAACACCAGUGGCGAAGGCGGCUUACUGGACUGUAACUGACGCUGAGGCGCGAAAGUGUGGGGAGCAAACAGGAUUAGAUACCCUGGUAGUCC
rnacentral:rRNA from 1 species